rnacentral:rRNA from 1 species
CCGUUCUUAGUUGGUGGAGUGAUUUGUCUGCUUAAUUGCGAUAACGAACGAGCCUUUAACCUGCUAAAUAGCCCGUACUGCUUUGGCAGUUCGCCGGCUUCUUAGAGGGCCUAUCGGCUCAAGCCGAUGGAAGUUUGAGCAGCAAUAACAGGUCUGUGAUGCCCUUAGAUGGGCACCACACGCGUUACACUGACAGAGCCAGCGAGUAUUUCCUUGACCGGAAGGUCCGGGUAAUCUUGUUAAACUCUGUCGUGCUGGGGAUAGAGCAUUGCAAUUAUUGCUCUUCAACGAGGAAUCCCUAGUAAGCGCAAGUCAUCAGCUUGCGUUGAUUACGUCCCUGCCCUUUGUACACACCGCCCGUCGCUACUACCGAUUGAAUGGCUCAGUGA